ACCAGGGAGACUGUGUACAUAGUAAUUGUUGGCAGCAUUGAAGAAGAUGCAGUGAGAACAGAGACCCAGCUCUCACUUCCUAAACACAAAGGAUAUACAUCUGGAUGUCAGAGAACAAUAUCAUGGAAUCUACUCUCUCCUCCACUUCUGAGUGGAUUCAGAAGUUGAACUAAGGUGGUCAGACUUGAAGGGCAACUGCUGAUCUAAUAGGCCUGCAAAACUACAUGUAUUCCUCUGUGAUAAAAAAUUGAAGACCCAGAAAUGAACCCACACA